GACGAACGCUGGCGGCGUGCCUAAUACAUGCAAGUAGAACGCUGAAGGAGGAGCUUGCUUCUCUGGAUGAGUUGCGAACGGGUGAGUAACGCGUAGGUAACCUGCCUGGUAGCGGGGGAUAACUAUUGGAAACGAUAGCUAAUACCGCAUAAGAGUAGAUGUUGCAUGACAUUUGCUUAAAAGGUGCAAUUUCAUCACUACCAGAUGGACCUGCGUUGUAUUAGCUAGUUGGUGAGGUAACGGCUCACCAAGGGAACGAUACAUAGCCGACCUGGGAGGGGAAGAGGCCACACGGGGACUGGGACACGGCCCCGACUCCCACGGGGGGCAGCGGUAGGGAAACUUUGGCAAAGGGGGGAAGUCUGACCGAGCAACACCGCGUGAGUGAAGAAGGGUUUCGGGUCGUAAAACUCUGUUGUAAGAGAAGAACGAGUGUGAGAGUUAAAAGUUCACACUGUGACGGUAUCUUACCAGAAAGGGACGGCUAACUACGUG
rnacentral:rRNA from 1 species